rnacentral:rRNA from 1 species
UCAGACGAUGCGUCAUGCAUAUCAAUAAGCGGAGGAAAAGAAACUAACAAGGAUUCCCUCAGUAACGGCGAGUGAAGCGGGAAGAGCUCAAAUUUGAAAUCUUGAAAGGUCACCUUUCACGAAUUGUAGUUUAAAGAAGUGUUUUCUGUUACGAUCGUAAUAUAAGUUCUUUGGAAUAGGACAUCACAGAGGGUGAGAAUCCCGUCUAUGAUUGCGAUUUGUAGCUUUGUGAUACACUUUCAAAGAGUCGGGUUGUUUGGGAAUGCAGCCCAAAACGGGAGGUAAAUUUCUUCUAAGGCUAAAUAUUGGCGAGAGACCGAUAGCGAACAAGUACCGUGAGGGAAAGAUGAAAGAACUUUGAAAAGAGAGUUAAAUAGUACGUGAAAUUGUCAAAAGGGAAGCGUUUAACACCAGUGUUGUUUUCUGAAAAUCAACCUCUGUUAGCUUUAUGCAUGUUUGUUUAGACCUAAUCAGCUAUCUUGCAUGUUCUAUUGUUUGCAGUGGUGCACUUUUCAGUUUACAGGUCAACAUCAGUUUUUUUUACCGUAAAAAAGUUAAAGAAAGGUAGCUCAUGGCUCCGGUCGUGAGUGUUAUAGUCUUUUUCCUAUGCGGUAGGAGAGACUGAGGUCUGCAGUGUAGGCUAUUUGGCUAGAUACUCAGGUGCUAUGUGAUACCAUUUCAUAAACAACUUGUUGAUUAUGUUUUGUCUAUUGCAUACUCGCUUGUACUAUCAUACCUACGCUUAGGAUGUUGAUCUGUAGUGCGUGCGC